UACGUAGGUCCCGAGCGUUGUCCGGAUUUAUUGGGCGUAAAGGGAGCGUAGGCGGACUUUUAAGUGAGAUGUGAAAUACUCGGGCUCAACUUGAGUGCUGCAUUUCAAACUGGAAGUCUAGAGUGCAGGAGAGGAGAAUGGAAUUCCUAGUGUAGCGGUGAAAUGCGUAGAGAUUAGGAAGAACACCAGUGGCGAAGGCGAUUCUCUGGACUAUAACUGACGCUGAGGCUCGAAAGCGUGGGGAGCAAACAGG
rnacentral:rRNA from 1 species